UACGUAGGGGGCAAGCGUUGUCCGGAUUUAUUGGGCGUAAAGAGCGUGUAGGCGGCCAGGUAGGUCUGCUGUGAAAACUCGAGGCUCAACCUCGAGAUGUCGGCGGAAACCAUCUGGCUAGAGUCCGGAAGAGGAGAAUGGAAUUCCCGGUGUAGCGGUGAAAUGCUCAGAUAUCGGGAAGAACACCCGUGGCGAAGGCGGUUCUCUGGGACGGUACUGACGCUGAGACGCGAAAGCGUGGGGAGCGAACAGG
rnacentral:rRNA from 1 species